rnacentral:rRNA from 1 species
AACGAACGCUGGCGGCGCGCCUAAUACAUGCAAGUCGAGCGAGAAGGUGUAGCAAUACACUUGUAAAGCGGCGAACGGGUGAGGAAUACAUGGGUAAUCUACCAUCGAGUGGGGAAUAACCAGCCGAAAGGUUGGCUAAUACCGCGUACGCCUCCGAAUCUUCGGGUUCGGAGGGAAAGCCGCACUGUGAGUGCGGCGCUCUUUGAUGAGCUCAUGUCCUAUCAGCUUGUUGGUAGGGUAACGGCCUACCAAGGCUUUGACGGGUAGCUGGUCUGAGAGGACGAUCAGCCACACUGGCACUGCGACACGGGCCAGACUCCUACGGGAGGCAGCAGUAAGGAAUAUUGCGCAAUGGGCGAAAGCCUGACGCAGCGACGCCGCG